GUCGCUCUCAGCUUCUCCGUCGGCCGGUCGCAGAAUAUAGUUUUCCGGUGUAUCGUUUUUAUCUUUCAACAAAAAUUUGUAGGUGUCAAUGACAAGAUCGAAGAGAAAGUUCGCGAUCACGGACAAAUUUCUGCCAAGGCUAGCCAAAAAUUUGUGCACCAGGAAGGGUAGCCGGCGUGCAAACACUGGAAACCGUCUAGAACACGCGGUCCUUACCCACAUACAGCACGUGCCGUAGAUCCCCUGCUAUCUGAUCCUCUCCAUAGCUAAUCAUCCUCCAUCUCCUUCUCACCGGCAUCCCUCAGUCAGAGCGAAAGAGACAUAUGCUAGCAGUCAUGGCUCGUGGAGACGAAUGCAAAACCGCAUCCAAGGCAAACUAUGCCUGCAAGAACUUGGAUGUAACAGCACCAAUGAAAAAAUCUAUCGCCCAACCAUCAAGCUCCCAAGCACCAAAAAAACAGGAGCAGAAGAAAGACUACGGAGCCUGGGGUCCCAUCUACAAAGACAAGAAGUCGUUCACCGAGAUGCAUCUGUGUUGAAUACACACCGAGCCUGGAACAUUGUAGCCACUAUCGCAUGACAUAGCAUUACCAUUAAAUCUUACUUUAUAGUCACAAAACAAAUUGUCAUUUAUACUAUUUUUUUUAAUAAAAACUAUAUAAACUACAGUCUCCUUAUAUUUCCUCAUUUGUUUA